rnacentral:rRNA from 1 species
AUGAACGCUGGCGGCGUGCUUCACACAUGCAAGUCGAACGGUGAAGCAGAGCUUGCUCUGUGGAUCAGUGGCGAACGGGUGAGUAACACGUGAGCAACCUGCCCCUGACUCUGGGAUAAGCGCUGGAAACGGCGUCUAAUACUGGAUAUGAGCUGCGACCGCAUGGUCAGCAGUUGGAAAGAUUUUUCGGUCUGGGAUGGGCUCACGGCCUAUCAGCUUGUUGGUGAGGUAAUGGCUCACCAAGGCGUCGACGGGUAGCCGGCCUGAGAGGGUGACCGGCCACACUGGGACUGAGACACGGCCCAGACUCCUACGGGAGGCAGCAGUGGGGAAUAUUGCACAAUGGGCGAAAGCCUGAUGCAGCAACGCCGCGUGAGGGAUGACGGCCUUCGGGUUGUAAACCUCUUUUAGCAGGGAAGAAGCGAAAGUGACGGUACCUGCAGAAAAAGCGCCGGCUAACUACGUG